UACGUAGGUGGCAAGCGUUGUCCGGAGUUACUGGGCGUAAAGGGCGCGUAGGCGGCCUUCUAAGUCAGACGUGAAAUCCCCCGGCUUAACCUGGGAACUGCGUCUGAUACUGGGAGGCUUGAGUAUGGGAGAGGGAUGUAGAAUUCCAGGUGUAGCGGUGAAAUGCGUAGAUAUCUGGAGGAAUACCGGUGGCGAAGGCGGCAUCCUGGACCAUUACUGACGCUGAGGUGCGAAAGCGUGGGGAGCAAACAGG
rnacentral:rRNA from 1 species